rnacentral:rRNA from 1 species
GGAGGGUGCAAGCGUUAUCCGGAUUCACUGGGUUUAAAGGGUGCGUAGGUGGGUUGGUAAGUCAGUGGUGAAAUCUCCGAGCUUAACUUGGAAACUGCCAUUGAUACUAUCAGUCUUGAAUACCGUGGAGGUCAGCGGAAUAUGUCAUGUAGCGGUGAAAUGCUUAGAUAUGACAUAGAACACCAAUUGCGAAGGCAGCUGGCUACACGAAUAUUGACACUCAGGCACGAAAGCGUGGGGAUCAAACAGGAUUAGAUACCCUGGUAGUCCACGCCCUAAACGAUGGAUACUCGACAUACGCGAUACACUGUGUGUGUCUGAGCGAAAGCAUUAAGUAUCCCACCUGGGAAGUACGAUCGCAAGAUUGAA